GUUCCUCUCGCCGCCACUGGGUGGCACUGCUGUACACACAGGGAUUAACGUUAGUGGAAACGGGCUACAGGAAUUACGCAUUUGUAUUGAAAAGAAAAAGAAGAGAAAACUACUGCAAUGACACUGAGGAGGACGGUGAAGGCACAAACUUUUAAAACAAGUCGUGGAAUGAAAACAGCGAGGCAGUGGGAGAAAAAGUUAAAGUGACCGUGGUUCUGGGCUGAUGCUAGCUAGUGCCGCUGCUGACGGGUUAAUUAACCUGCGCCACCAGCAAGCUAGCUAGCUAAAGUACUCCACUUCGCGCUCGUUUUACGUGGUCGGGUCUAACCUGAAGAAUUAACUAAUACCAUCGUAUGGCAGAUAGCUAUAUCAGACCUGCUCACUGGCCUGGAAUAAAGUCUGGCGGUGGAUGCUUCUGCACAGAGGAGGAAAAAACACUUGAUUAAAGCACAUGAAACGGGAGAAAUUAGAUGCAUUGUGAAGACAUUGCCCAAGUACCUAUUUUCACUUCCCAACACAAGGAGGUCAUCCACAAACGGGUCCUCGUCCAGAACAGUUAGGUACACAGGGGGGUAGUCAGCCAGUCCAGGUCACAGCUCUUAAUCACACAUUUUAGUUCAGUUCACUCCUCAGUAAUUUCCACUCUGUCUCACUCAGCUCUCCUCCUUUCUUCUCUCUACUCCUUUUGUUCCCAGUUCAAACCUGCUUUCCUUUUUUUUCCCCUCCAAAACCCCAAUCACCUAAUUAAUCCCAGCCUCUCCUUGUUGGAAGAGGAAGUCCAUAAAAGGCUCGGGGGUGGAGCCAACGGGCCGCAAUAUACCUCCCUUCGAUUACCACUCCCCUCACCUCUCCCUGCAAUCUACCACAGUAGCCUGUUUUGUAUGUUGUUUUUA